UUGACCUCAAAUACAGGUAGGACUACCCGCUGAACUUAAGCAUAUCAAUAAGCCGGAGGAA
rnacentral:rRNA from 1 species